GAUGAAGAACGCAGCGAAAUGCGAUAAGUAAUGUGAAUUGCAGAAUUCAGUGAAUCAUCGAAUCUUUGAACGCACAUUGCGCCCGCCAGUAUUCUGGCGGGCAUGCCUGUUCGAGCGUCAUUUCAACCAUCAAGCCCCCGGAUUGUGUUGGGGACCUGCGGCUGCCGCAGGCCCUGAAAACCAGUGGCGGGCUCGCUAGUCACUCCGAGCGUAGUAAUACAUCUCGCUCAGGGCGUGCUGCGGGUUCCGGCCGUUAAAAGCCUUAUUUACCAAAGGUUGACCUCGGAUCAGGUAGGAAGACCCGCUGAACUUAAGCAUAUCAAUAAGCGGAGGA
rnacentral:misc_RNA from 1 species